AACGAACGCUGGCGGCAGGCUUAACACACGCAAGUCGAACGCAUCCUUCGGGGUGAGUGGCAGACGGGUGAGUAACGCGUGGGAACGUGCCCUUCAGUUCGGGAUAACCCAGGGAAACUUGGGCUAAUACCGGAUACGUGCGAGAGCAGAAAGAUUUAUCGCUGAAGGAUCGGCCCGCGUCUGAUUAGCUAGUUGGUGGGGUAAUGGCCCACCAAGGCGACGAUCAGUAGCUGGUCUGAGAGGAUGAUCAGCCACAUUGGGACUGAGACACGGCCCAAACUCCUACGGGAGGCAGCAGUGGGGAAUAUUGGACAAUGGGCGCAAGCCUGAUCCAGCCAUGCCGCGUGAGUGAUGAAGGCCUUAGGGUUGUAAAGCUCUUUCGUCCGGGACGAUAAUGACGGUACCGGAAGAAGAAGCCACGGCUAACUUCGUGCCAGCAGCCGCCGUAA
rnacentral:rRNA from 1 species